rnacentral:lncRNA from 1 species
GUCCACAGCCUUCAUAAGAUCACCUAUCAGGGCAAAUAAAAUUUAGCCAUGUGAACAGGUCCCAUUUUGUCAGAAAUAUAAUUUGGAUUCAACUGUCCUUUUAUAAACUGAUCUGAUCAGAACCUGAAUUCUCCUAAUUUUCUUCAAUAUUUGGCUGCAACUCUCCAACUAAGAGCAAAAACUGCUCUGUGCUUGCCGCCUUAGAAGAUGAAGCUAGACAACUUGAUAUAAAUUUCAAGAGACAAGUCUCAUACCCGAAAAAAGAAGGACAAGUCUUGUGCCACACAGAAAGUUCACCAAUCCACCUGAUACCAUAGCAGAGAAUUCAAACUGCAAGCCAAGAGAAGUUGAUGGCUUCAUGCUAUAGGCAGCGUUUCCCAAGACACUCCAUCAAAAUGAGACUCUUGCCCCUCUUAAUUUUUCCUUUCUUAUGCUUACCUUUUUCUUUGGCAAGAUA